rnacentral:tRNA from 1 species
GCGGGUAUGGUUCAAUGGUAAAAUAUCUCCUUGCCAUGGAGAAGACGUGGGUUCGAUUCCCGCUACCCGCC